rnacentral:rRNA from 1 species
AUGAAAUCUCGUAGCGAGGUUCUCUCUAUAUACAAACGUUUUGCUGCCAUGGUUCACACCCAGUUUUCCACGCCUAUUCGUACUUUUCGUGCUGACUCUGCUGGAGAGUAUAUCUCCCAGCUGUUGCGUGGUUUUCUCGCGGAACAGGGCACUCUUGCCCAGUUCUCAUGUCCUGGUGCUCAUGCUCAGAAUGGCGUUGCCGAACGCAAGCAUCAUCAUCUGCUUGAGACGGCUCGUGCGCUGAUGAUUGCCGCUUCCCUUCCACCCCACUUUUGGGCUGAGGCUGUUUCUGCAUCCACCUAUCUCAUCAACAUUCAGCCCUCGACUGCACUGCAGGGUGGUAUUCCUAUGGAGUGUCUCACUGGUCGUUCUCCUGACUACUCAUCUCUCCGUAUGUUUGGAUGUGUGUGCUAUGUCCUUCUUGCCCCGCGAGAACGUACCAAACUGACUGCUCCGUCGGUUGAGUGUGUUUUCCUUGGCUACAGUGAUGAGCACAAGGGCUAUCGCUGUUGGGAUCCUGUUGGGCGUCGCUUGCGCAUCUCGCGUGAUGUGACUUUUGACGAGUCUCGUUCUUACUACCCACGGCCUUCUUCCUCGAGCUUCUCUCUCGGCGAUAUUUCUUUUCUUCUCCUUCCCGAUACACCCUGCUAUGUGCCACCUAUUUCACCUCUUCCUUCGGCACCCCUCAUUUACUCUCCUUCACCACCGACACCCUCUUCCCCAUCCUCCUCCUCCACCUCUCCACCAUCAUCUCCAGUCCGUCGCCCUCUCUCAUCUUUUCCUCUCCACUAUACUCGCCGCCCUCGUACUGAGGAUGCUUCCCCUGAUGCACCUUCUCCCACUGGUGCACCUCCACUCACGCCUUCCUCGGUUCAUAACCUCCGUGCUCGGCCUCGCCCCCUGCCUGAUCGCUAUUCUCCUGAUCGGUACGGUCUCUCUGUCAUUGCUGAGCCCACUUCCUAUCGGACUGCCAUGACUCAACCUGAAUGGCAGCUUGCGAUGGCCGAAGAGCUUGCUGCCCUUGAGCGCUCUGGCACAUGGGAUCUGGUUUCUCUCCCUUCCGGUGUUCGUCCCAUCACUUGCAAGUGGGUCUACAAGAUUAAGACUCGCUCCGAUGGUUCUCUUGAGCGUUACAAAGCUCGUCUUGUGGCCCGUGGUUUUCAACAGGAGCAGGGCCGCGAUUAUGAUGAGACACUCGCUCCUGUGGCCCACAUGACCACUAUCCGCACUCUGAUUGCUGUGGCUUCGGUUCGUCAUUCGUCCAUCUCUCAACUUGAUGUUCAGAACGCUUUUCUCAAUGGCGAGUUGCGUGAGGAGGUUUAUAUGCAGCCACCACCAGGGUACUAUGCUCCUGAUGGUAUGGUCUGUAUGCUUCGCCGCUCCCUCUAUGGCCUUAAACAGGCCCCUCGCGCCUGGUUUGAGCGCUUUGCCUCUGUGGUGACUGCCGCUGGGUUCUUGCCUAGUGAUCAUGAUCCCACGUUGUUUGUUCACACGUCUCCUCGUGGUCGGACUCUUCUCCUUCUCUAUGUUGAUGACAUGAUCAUCACUGGUGACGACUCUGACUACAUUGCGUUUGUUAAGGCUCGCCUUCGCGAUCAGUUCCUCAUGACUGAUCUUGGUCCACUUCGCUAUUUUCUUGGGAUUGAGAUCUCCUCGACCUCCGAUGGAUUCUACAUCUCCCAAGAAAAAUAUAUUCAGGAUCUUCUUGCUCGCGCUGCUCUCGGUGAUGAGCGCACAGUUGUGACUCCUAUGGAGCUCAACGUUCAGCUUCGUGCCUCGGAUGGUGACCCUCUUCCUAAUCCCACUCGCUAUCAUCACCUUGUUGGCAGCCUUGUCUAUCUUGCUGUUACGCGUCCUAACAUCUCCUAUCCUGUCCACAUCCUGAGUCAGUUUGUUUCGGCUCCCACCUCUGUCCACUAUAGUCAUCUUCUCCGCGUUCUACGAUAUCUUCGUGGCACGAUCUCUCAGCGACUUUUCUUUCCCCGCUCCAGCUCUCUUGAGCUCCAUGCCUAUUCUGAUGCUACCUGGGCCAGUGAUCCCUCUGAUCGACCUGUCUGCUUACUGUGUCUUUCUUGGUGGCUCUCUUAUUGCCUGGAAGACAAAGAAACAGACUGCAAUUUCUCGCUCGAGUACAGAGGCUGA